UACGGGGGGAGCAAGCGUUGUUCGGAUUUACUGGGCGUAAAGGGCGCGUAGGCGGCGCGGUAAGUCACUUGUGAAAUCUCUGAGCUUAACUCAGAACGGCCAAGUGAUACUGCAGUGCUAGAGUGCAGAAGGGGCAAUCGGAAUUCUUGGUGUAGCGGUGAAAUGCGUAGAUAUCAAGAGGAACACCUGAGGCGAAGGCGGGUUGCUAGGCUGACACUGACGCUGAUGCGCGAAAGCCAGGGGAGCAAACGGG
rnacentral:rRNA from 1 species